GUAGCCGUGAGGUGAAGCUGAAAGAAGCGUGUAGCAAACCCUCGACCGCAGGAACACGAAACGGCAGCGAGGCCGGGUGCGGGCGGCGAGCUGGCCAGAAACAGCGAAGCCCAAAGGUCAUCAAGACGCAUCAGGUAAAGCCGGGCGGCGCGAGGGAACAGACUCUGCAC
rnacentral:ncRNA from 1 species